rnacentral:tRNA from 1 species
GGGCAGGUGGCCGAGUGGACAAUGGCAGCAGACUGUAAAUCUGCCGGCUUUAUGCCUUCGGAGGUUCGAAUCCUUCCCUGCCCACCU